rnacentral:rRNA from 1 species
UACGUAGGAGGCAAGCGUUGUCCGGAAUUACUGGGUGUAAAGCGCGUGUAGGCGGCAGGCCAAGUCUGUGGUGAAAUCGCUCGGCUCAACUGGGCGGGGUCCAUGGAAACUGGUCAGCUGGAGGACGGUAGAGGUGAGUGGAAUUCCCGGUGUAGUGGUGAAAAUGCGUAGAGAUCGGGAGGAACACCCGUGGCGAAGGCGGCUCACUGGGCCGGUCCUGACGCUGAGACGCGAAGGCGUGGGGAGCGAACGGG